UCGAACGGAAAGGCCCUGCUUGCAGGGUACUCGAGUGGCGAACGGGUGAGUAACACGUGGGUGAUCUGCCCUGCACUUCGGGAUAAGCUUGGGAAACUGGGUCUAAUACCGGAUAGGAACCAUCUUUAGUGUGGUGGUUGGAAAGUUUUUUCGGUGUAGGAUGAGCUCGCGGCCUAUCAGCUUGUUGGUGGGGUAAUGGCCUACCAAGGCGGCGACGGGUAGCCGGCCUGAGAGGGUGUACGGCCACAUUGGGACUGAGAUACGGCCCAGACUCCUACGGGAGGCAGCAGUGGGGAAUAUUGCACAAUGGGCGCAAGCCUGAUGCAGCGACGCCGCGUGGGGGAUGAAGGCCUUCGGGUUGUAAACUCCUUUCGCUAGGGACGAAGCUUUUUGUGACGGUACCUAGAUAAGAAGCACCGGCUAACUACGUGCCAGCAGCCGCGGUAAUACGUAGGGUGCGAGCGUUGUCCGGAAUUACUGGGCGUAAAGGGCUCGUAGGUGGUUUGUCGCGUCGUCUGUGAAAUUCUGGGGCUUAACUCCGGGCGUGCAGGCGAUACGGGCAUAACUUGAGUGCUGUAGGGGUAACUGGAAUUCCUGGUGUAGCGGUGAAAUGCGCAGAUAUCAGGAGGAACACCGAUGGCGAAGGCAGGUUACUGGGCAGUUACUGACGCUGAGGAGCGAAA
rnacentral:rRNA from 1 species